GCACCGGCUAACUACGUGCCAGCAGCCGCGGUAAUACGUAGGGUGCGAGCGUUGUCCGGAUUUAUUGGGCGUAAAGAGCUCGUAGGCGGUUGAUCGCGUCGGAAGUGAAAACCUGGGGCUUAACCCUGGGCGUGCUUUCGAUACGGGUUGACUUGAGGAAGGUAGGGGAGAAUGGAAUUCCUGGUGGAGCGGUGGAAUGCGCAGAUAUCAGGAGGAACACCAGUGGCGAAGGCGGUUCUCUGGACCUUUCCUGACGCUGAGGAGCGAAAGCGUGGGGAGCAAACAGGCUUAGAUACCCUGGUAGUCCACGCUGUAAACGAUGAGUGCAAGGUGUUGGGGGUCAAACCUCGGUGCCGCCGUUAACACAGUAAGCACUCCGCCUGGGGAGUACGUACGCA
rnacentral:rRNA from 1 species